CUUCCCCUCCCCCCACCUAACCCCAGCUCUGCCAGCAGACUCUGCCCUGUUGAUUGCUCACAGUAUCAUGGAGUGAUGCAAGCAGCCAGCUCGUCUUUGGACUCUGUCGGGAGCAAGGCUUUCCAGUCUGGUAAAGUCAGAGCAAGUCCGGGUGUUUCAAGAGGCUCAGUGCAUGAAGGGAAAUCCACGCUGGAGGUAGUGUGUAAAUUGCAAGCAGAUUACCUCAAGAAGGUAGAGUAAAUGAGAUCAGUCUUCAACCCAGAACACAAAGAAAGGUAAAGACACAUCCCUCUCAGUCACAGUCUAGAGCAUAUUAUCUCAGAAAUUCAUCUUAAAUGGGCUCAAGAGCAAGAAAUUCCUAGGAGAAUAUAUUGGAUAUGCCUUCAUAUCAAGACACAAGGUUAGAUUUCAGGCUGCUCCUCACACACAGUAGGUACAUUGUAAAUCACAAGGCUGACAAACACAGAACUGGCAUCACUUCUGCUAUCAUGGGCAGUCCAACCCUGUAGGGAUGUGUUAUAAAUCUCACAGUUUGCAUGGAACAAUACAAUCAUAUGCUGAUUAUGCACUGACAGAUUGAUCCAUUUCUCUGCCUUACAUCCGUAUAAUAACAGAUAGUACCCACACUGGUGGGUGUAUACAAGAGAUCAACACCAACAACGAAGAUAGGAGACCAGGCAAUCAGACGAAAUGGGUAAAACCAUCACUCCUCCUGAGACCGAUACAAACAUUCUGGGGGAUAAAAAAUAUACAACAUGAAGCGGAGGAGGAAGAAAAACAUCCCAACUGUCAUGCUGACCAAUGUAGUAGAGUCCUAAAGUGUGGCAAUGAUAUAAUUCAUCUUCCAAUAACAUGUCAUCCCAGCAUUAUAGUCAUACAAUGUAGGGAAUGCCACACUCUUAUGACAAUGUGAGGCACUGAGCGACAGGGAAAUGUUCUUACACUCAGAAACAAUGAAUGAUGGAUUGGGAAUUAAUCAAUUAAAUAUAAUACCAGACACAAAAUGAAACCCUCAUGCACACACGUCCAAAAACACUGAGUUUUAAAUCUCAUUGCAAAUACAUAUUUACUGACUGAUCCAGACGUUAUCUCUUGGAUACAUAGAGUGUCAAAAAUUUGCAUAGCAAGGAAUGCAUUUUAAAGUUGCAUAAGAUUGCAGAAACUGAGAGAUAGAGAAUAGAUUGCCGCAAACACACACAGACUGAAGUCCACAUUCAGAAAAUUGAAAGAUUUGAAAUGAAUUUGGGACUUACAUGAAGUACCACAGACUGAAAUUAUAGCUAUUAAUCUCAGAAAAAGGCAAAGUAAUAAUUUUAAAAAAUGUAAAAGCACAUAUCACACUUAAAAACUGUAGAAGAUACUGAAAGAUACAGAAUAAAUUUCACCCUCACAUACAGUAUGAGAGAAUCAUGGAAUCUGAAUAAUUUAUACACUCAAACACUAUGCCAGAGAAUGACAAAUUUACAAUUCAGGAACAAACUCCCACACUACUGCUCUAUACAAUACAAUAUUCAUAUAAUAUAGAAUAUAUA